UACGAAGGGGGCUAGCGUUGCUCGGAAUCACUGGGCUUAAAGGGUGCGUAGGCGGGUUUUUAAGUCAGGGGUGAAAUCCUGGAGCUCAACUCCAGAACUGCCUUUGAUACUGAAGAUCUUGAGUUCGGGAGAGGUGAGUGGAACUGCGAGUGUAGAGGUGAAAUUCGUAGAUAUUCGCAAGAACACCAGUGGCGAAGGCGGCUCACUGGCCCGAUACUGACGCUGAGGCACGAAAGCGUGGGGAGCAAACAGG
rnacentral:rRNA from 1 species